UAGACUUGAGCUUUUAUCUUGGGGAGCCCUAUAGUGUAAAAAUUCUAUAUAGACCGUAUCAUGCCGUAGUCAUCAAUAUAGUUAAGUUUGUAUAUGCAAUAUACACACAAGUCUAUAGGUACAGUAGAGUGUAAGUUCUAAGUGCUUGUACAGUAAGCAUUUAAUUCAAGCAACAGAAAUCGGGGACAUUGUCCUUCUGCUUUAACACAAAUUAUAUGUAAAUUUAUUCAAAUACUUUAUUACUUAUAGUUAAGUCGCAAUCACCAUUGUGUGGAACUAGUACCAUAAGAUCUUCUUGUUCUUCUUAACUUCUGACAAAAAGACAUGAUGAACCUCCUGUGGUUAUUUGGAGUUUUGGCCAUACUAAAAUGUAUCACUGCACAGAUCUCACUCGUAGAGUCUGGUCCUGGGAUUGUGAGACCAUCAGAGACUCUGGAACUGACCUGUAAAGUGACUGGAGCCUCCCUGACUGACAGCAGUAACAUAUAUGCAGUUCCAUGGAUUCGAUCAUCCACAGGGAAAGGUCUGAAGUGGCUGGGGGUUAUUUGGUAUAAUGGUAACACAAAUUAUGCGGAGUCUCUUCAGGGACGUUUAACUGUAACAAGAGACACAAAUAAAGGAGAAGUCUAUUUUAAACUCACUGGAGUGAAACCUGAAGAAUCUGGGAAAUAUUAUUGUGUAAGAUACUCACAGUGUAACCGAUGAACUGAUGAAGUGAACACAAACUGAUCACAGUUUUAGUGCAUGAAUGACAGUGUCAUUUUCAUUGUUAUAUUACAAAAAAAUCAUAGUAAACAUCUUAAGGUGUAAAAAAAAUGUUCUCCUUGGUUGGAGGGGACCAAUUGCUUAUCAGCAGAACUCACAUCUUUAGUGCUAGAGAAAUAGCACUGGAUUGGCAGGCACCAGAUGGAGGAGGUACACUGGCUCAGCUUGCAUAUCUCUGUUCCUAUAGACGGACUGAGCCUAACAACAGGCAGUGAACUGCAAAUUCAGUAGAAGGGAGACCCCUAGUGGCUCGAACUUUAAACAAUUUUAGGGGAUAAGAAAGCAAAACUUUUAAACACAUAAAAGCAAAAAGAUUUAC